GGUAACUUUCCCCCUGCUUUUCACUUUAUCUACACAACUGCCACAAUGCCAUUCAUUUCAUUCCAAUUCCAUUCGCUUUCACUCUAAAUUGAAUAAGCGCCGUCAUUUUCUGUGUUGCAGAGGACGAGGGCGAGACGAAGCAUCUAGAAGCGUUAGUAGAGGGAGCAGAGUCGCGCCUCCGUCUCUUCCAGAUCGACCUCCUCGACUACAACUCGAUACUCGCCGCCGUCAGUGGCUGCUCCGGCGUCUUCCACCUCGCCUCUCCCUGCAUCGUCGAUCAAGUCCACGACGCCGAGGUUCGCGCCAGUACACAUUAUCAAAUUCCUUCUAAUUUUGAUUAUAUUUGAUUAAUUAUGCGUCAUUUUGAAAACGUGGUCAUUUUUUUGUUUAAUCUGCAGAAGGAGCUUCUGGACCCGGCGAUCAAAGGAACGCUCAAUGUUCUGACGGCGGCGAAGCGCGCUGGGGUCAGCCGUGUGGUGCUGACGUCAUCCAUCUCCGCCAUCACUCCCAGCCCAAGCUGGCCGUCUGAUAAGGUCAAGGGCGAGGAUUGCUGGACAGACAUUGACUACUGCAAGCAGAAGGGAGUGAGUUACUCCAAUGCCUAAUUGUGUUUUGAAAAACCGCGGUUUAUUGUCUGUUUAAUGUCCGCAUUCUAUUUUCUUAUUGAAAGUUUGUAACUUUCGGUGCGAGUUUCCCCUGUUUGUAUUGAAUUUUUCAUCUUUGAUUAUUAAGUCUUCGUUUUUAACUAAUUGAAGUUUUCACAAAUGGGGACCUGUAAUGCUGAUUGUGUUUGGUGUUUGGCUAGGUGUGGAAUCCAUUACCGAAAACGCUGGCAGAGAAAGCAGCGUGGGAAUUUGCCAAGGAGAGGGGGCUGGAUGUGGUUGUGGUGAAUCCAGGCACGGUGAUGGGCCCUGUUAUCUCGGCCAGGUUCAAUGCUAGCAUGUUGAUGCUCGUUCGCCUUCUUGAGGGUACUUUUCUCUGCAAAUUUGUAUUAGAAUAUCCUCUGGGACUGCACCUAGAAGUAGAUUGUUGACUUUAUCCAAUUCCAUUUCAUAUAUUAUGUUGCUGAAAGCCUAAAACUAAGGUAACCAAUGAGGCUGUGGUUGGUUGAUGAACUAGAAAUUAGAUGCAUAUGUGUGAUCAUAAAGGAACUCUUCUACAUCUGUUUUUCUAGCACACGUUUCUUUAAGUUCUAAGCAAUCUCGAUAAAGUUUGUUUGGGUUCCUCUCUUUUGGAGAGGACUGAGAAAAAGGAAGAGGCCCUAGAAACAACAUGUAUAAAGUAAGAUUUGAGAUGUUCAAUCUUUGCUGCAGGCUGCACUGAAACUUAUGAGGACUUCCUUGUGGGAUCCGUUCAUUUUAAAGAUGUAGCUCUCGCACACAUUUUAGUGUAUGAGAACAAAAUCAUCAACCGGUAGGCACUUAUGUGCUGGAGCUAUAUCACAUUAUGGUGCCUUUGUGCUAAAGGUUGCUGAACUUUUCCCUGAGUACAAGGUUCCCAGGUAAAUUUUGGUCUGCAAAAUGCAUUUGCAAAUGAAAUGGUGUGCAUAUCUUAUGUUUUCGCUGUUUGGUUUCCUGAUAAGUGAAUGUCUCAUCUCUUGGCAGAAGCGCAACUUAAAAAUAUAGUAUGUCUUGAUUUUGAACCGAGGUUUCUUAGAUACACUGAACUCUUCUACAGCUGGAGGAUGAUGAUUUUUUCUUUCUUUUUUUCCUCCCAUCACGUGUUUGAUAUUUGAGACCAAAUUAGCGAAUUGAAAUCUGAUUUUUCCUAUAAAAGAGUGUUCAUGCGGGUAUAGAUGUGCAUACGUCAUCUUUCUUUGGUCUAUUUAAAAUCCCUUCCAAAUGUUGAUUUCCACGUUUUUCAACCUUUUGGUGCAUUCUUGCUUGCCUUGGCGGAAUUUUACAAUUUUUUUAGGUGGUGUGUGUCUGAUUUUGAAAAUGCUCGAGCUAAUAUGUUUACUUUUGUGUAGUUUGCCAAAGGACACCCAACCGAGCUUGCUGCCGAGGGAAAGAACGGUGCGAAGAAGCUAAUGAACUUGGGUUUAGAAUUCAUUCCCAUGGAUCAAAUUAUCAAGGAUGCUGUUGAGAGCCUAAAGAGCAAGGGAUUUAUUUCAUAAAUGAAACUGCAGGAAUAUGAAACUUAUCAGGGAUCAAGGUAUGACUUGUACUAGUAGCUGAGUACGUGUAACAUGAAUGGUUGUUUCAACUCCUUUAAAUUUUCCUUCUUCUAGGUAGGAGAGCAAUUUAUAUGAAACGAGUUCAUUGCCAUUAUGGCGUUCUGGUCCAGUAAUAUAUUGUCACGUGAAGAAAAACUUAAACAUAUCAGUGCAUUGUUGGACUGGAAUGCUACGUGAUAUAACAAUUAUUCCAUACAUUUUAUUUCCUUUUUAUUUGGAUUAUUGUGAUUGUUUUAAGUGAAUUCAGUUCUCUUUUACUUAGUUUUGUGUUCUUUGGUUCGAGGAGUAAAGAUGAAGAAACAAGAAAAUGGAGGGAUUUUGCAAUUGAAACGAGUUUUGCUUCCUGGAAGCAGACACUGUCUGCGCAGAAUAGCCAACUUGACCGAAUAAACUGUACUUCAGAAGGAACCAGCUAUUGAGCCUUAUACCAUUGCAAAGAUAUUGAAGUUAGCUUUCAAAGAAAUUUUACGGGUGAUAAUUCACUUGAAGCCCAUUGCCCAAGAGAGCUUGUACAGAUGACUUUAAUCCUAUUUCAAUAGGGUCUGAAGUAAGUUACUUGGGAAGUUUACUCGCCACAUCAUCAGUCAUGCAAUACAAAUGAGGAAAAGAUUGCACAAGACCGAUAGGAUUUUGACCAAUAUAGGUUGUAGGAAGUCGGAGGGACGUUUUGGAGAGAGAUUUUCUGCAAAGUUUGAAGAGGAGAAGCAGCGGCCAUCAGCCAUCGUUCUAUCCUUCUACAUCGUUUAUAAGUUUUCCAUGUUUUCUAGACUUUUCAUUAUGUUUUCGUGCUCUAUGAAUAACUAAACUCUUUUCUAGGGCUAGGAUGAUGCCCUAGCAUGAAUGUUAUGAUUUUCAACAGUAUUUGUUGGAUAUUUAAUUUGUUGGAUGAAUUCUUAUUCACUACAAGAACUGAAUGCUUUAUGUUCGAAUUCUUUGACUGAUGAUGUUAGGGCUUUCCAUAUAGUAACUUGAAGAUGGAAUUGAGGCGUAACUGCAAUAUAAUUCGGAUUAGCUUCUUGAUAAUAAGGGUUGUGAAUUACAUAGAUGUUGUAACAAGAUUUAUGGUUUGCAUGAUUCUCCUGUUCUCUUGUACGUAAUGAGUUCUACAUGUUAAAUUUAUGCCCUAACCAGAUAGACUGCAUUUUAGGAUAUACGACCUUUGCCGAAAAAAAGGUCGUACCCAGUGCACAAGGCUCCCGCUUUACGCAGGGUCUGGGAGAGGUGAAUGUCGGCUAGCCUUACCCCCAUUUAUGGAGAGACUGCUCUCAAGUCUCGAACCCGAAAUCGAAGAAAAUCACAUACUUAAGGAGAACUAUGGUUUAUAGUGCCUUAACCGGACUUAGAUACAGGAAUUGUCUUCUAAGGGAAAAUAUUCCAUUGAAUGCAUUGAAACCUAAACCGGAUUGUCAUCUUUGUUGUAUUUAUUAACAAAUAAGGAUAAUUCAAAUAUUAAGAGGUUGCAUAUACCUUUAUAAUGAACUGAAUUCAGCCACAGAUUCUGGUUUUAUUUCUCAUACGAUGUCAAAACAGGAAUCCAGAGUCCUUGACUCUACUUGUGUAGAAUGUUGGUAAUUUCCACUGAUGGAACACUCCCUUGCCCUCAAAGAUAUGUGAUAUAACAUGGGCGAAAGAAUGAAUAAACCGGACUAGUACCGGCCUUCUUGGUGUUAUUCUCAUCAUAGUAGCUUGCUAUCUGCAUAAUUUGUUUUCGUGCAUGUUAAGAAUAGACCCUUACACCUCUUUAUGUUGUCCUGUUGUAGCUGGUCUGCAAGCGGCCUGCGUUGGUUGUGCCGGCUUUGCUGCAUUUUCAGUGCUGAUAGAGAAGUUUUUGGAUAGACAUGAUUGAGUUUGAGCGCUUUGCCUGUGCUGCACCAGUUUUGCAGACACUAAAAAUAUGACAAUUCAGCAGAAGUGCCCUGCAGUGAUACGAAUGUUUUUGCUUAGGUUCAACUUCAGCCCUUGUUAUGGUUAUUUAUCCAAAAUCAUUUAUGAAGGGAUGUUCUAGCGAACAUACAAAUCCAAUGAUUUUGUGUUAUGCAUUCUCUCGACUACAGUUGAGAUUUUUUGAGAAUCUACACCGUAUUUUUAGCGGUAUGAUCAUUGAUUUAGAUUUGUAAUUCAACAAACAAACACCCAAACGAAAGGAUUAAUUCCCGGCAGGAAGUCUCAACUCAUGAAAGAUAUUCGGAUUUUGAGAAGAAGGUUUACGCUGCUCUAAAGAAAUGAGCUUGCUUGCUGGAUAGGCAUUCAGAUUCACUCCUAAAGUUUUCGUUAAUCCUUUCUCUCCACACAGUAAACUGCAGCAUCAAGGUAAAAUCUUGGUAAAUCAAAGAAUCUUGCUUUAUAAAAUCAAAGAAUCUUAACAAGUCACCAUAGACGGUUCGGAUUGAAUUUCAUCGUGAUAAUUAAAUAAGCAAAUGGUUGCGGAUUAAAUUGAAUUUUUGCAAGAAACCUUGAAAUUGAGGAACAUUUUGUUCUAUAAGAAACAAUGAAAUUUCAUCGUAAUAAUUAAAUAGACAAAUGAUUUUGGAUAUCAAAACCAGAAAACCAGUAAGUCUCAAUUAAAGAACAUUCGUAGCUAGAAAUCAAAUAUAAAUUUAAAAAAAAAAAAAAUUGCCAAAGAGAACAGUGGCACGAAUGCCAAAUACCCGUGACCUAAUGCUUGCUUCUUAUCGAGGAUUGAUUCAUAAGCCAUCAUGUUAAUUUGUUUAUAUGAGAUGUUGAAAAGAUGUUGAGAAUGAAUCUCACAUUGAUAGGAGAAACUAUGCAUAGACUUAAAAGUAAGUUGGGCUACUUCCCCAUAUUGUCAAUUGGUUUUAUGGUUGAACUCCAAUUUCUUCAUAAGGUUUACGUUCUAAAAAACAAAUUUAGACUACUUGCCGACACUGCCAGUAUAUAUUCACCCCUGAAAUUUGUUGUUCCUUUCAUCCAAGGAGAGCAAACAGCAGCAUCAAGGAAAAUCUUUUUGGUAUUAAGAGCAAAGAAUCUUGCAUUAAGAAAGCAAACGGGAAAACAAAGGUGUCCACUGUCUAUAUAAACUAGCAAAGAAGAAAAGCUAUAGCACAACCAUCCUGCAUUAGUUUCCUCUUCAUGUAUACAUUCCUACGCAGCUGACUUCUUCUUCUUCUUCUUCUUCUUCUUCUUCUUCUUCUUCUCCACUCUCAACCGAUUUCUAAGUUUGUAACCCUGAAAAUGGCUGACGCCCUCGUUUCCAUGCUACUAGAGAAGUUGGCUACAACAACUUAUGAGUACGUAGAGGACGAGCUGACACUCAUUCUAAAUGUUAAGAAAGAAGUUGAAGAGUUCACUGGCAACCUGAAAGCUAUUGAAUCUAUGCUUGAGGAUGCAGAGCAAAGGCAAAUGAAGGAGGCAAACGUGCAAAACUGGCUGGAUAACCUGAAGGAAAUAUCGUACCAGAUGGUGGACGUGCUGGAUGAGUGGAACACUGACGUUCUGAGACAAGAAGUUGAGAAACAAGAAGGAGAAGGCACAACUCAUAUUACUCAUCAGAGGAAGGUAAGUUUUGCUAUCUUCGCUCGUUGUUUUUGUCUUGGCCAAGUCGGCAAGGUUAUUAUUCGUCGUGAAAUUGCUCUCAAGAUAAAGGAUCUAAAUGAGCAGUUAGUUGGGAUUUAUAAGCAAAGAAAAAUGUAUAAUUUUCAACUCACUGAAAUAGUCAUUCAAAAACAGCAAACUUCGUCUUUUGUCGAUAUGUCUGAGAUAUUUGGUCGAGAAAAGGAAAAGGAUAGUUUGAUAAGGAAGUUGGUGAGUGAUGGUAGUGAAGAAGGGAGGGGGCUCCUCAUCAUCCCUAUUGUAGGGAUGGGAGGUAUGGGAAAGACAACUUUGGCUCAGUUAGUCUAUAAUGAUGCCAAUGUUAAAGCUCAUUUUCAAAAGAGAAUAUGGGUUUGUGUGUCAGAGCCUUUCGAUGAGACAAAGAUUGCCAAAGAGAUUAGUGGUGAUGCCACCUCAAGUUCAACUGGGUUGGAUCAUGUCUUAGAAUCUAUGUCUCGAUCCAUUAAAGGGGUAAAGUUUCUUCUUGUGUUGGAUGAUGUGUGGACUGAAGACCGUAAAAAGUGGUAUCAAUUAAAGGUUCCAUUGAUGCAAAAUGGGGCUGAGGGCAGUAGAAUACUAGUAACCACCAGAAAAGAAAAUGUUGCUAGUAUGAUGGAAGCAACCUCUCACAUGAUCAAUCUUGCAGAGUUGAGCGAACAAAAUUGUUUGUCAAUCUUCAAUCACAUGGCAUUUUCUAAUAGAGAAAUAGGCGAGUUUGAGGUGUUUGGAGAAAUCAGUAGGGAGAUUGUAAGAAAGUGUAAGGGUUUGCCACUUGUUGCAAAGACUUUAGGUAGUAUGAUGCGAGAUAAGAGGACAAGGAGUGAAUGGUUGAAGGUUCUGAAUAGUAAAAUAUGGGAUUGGGAAGAAGUGGAGCAAGAAGUUUUCCAGCCAUUAUUUCUAAGUUAUUAUGAUUUGGCCCCGAGAAACAAAUGUUGCCUUUUAUAUUGUGCUAUUUUUCCAAAAGAUUAUGAGUUUAGUAGAGAUGAGUUGAUUAAUCUUUGGAUGGCACAAGAUUAUCUUAAUUCUAGAGAGAAUAAAGAUAAAGGAAAAACUGGUCAAGCUGUUUUUGAUAAUUUAGUUGCUCGGUCUUUUUUUCAAGAUUUUAAGAAACAUUACGACACUGGUGCGAUAAUAGGUUGCAAAAUGCAUGACAUUGUACAUGACUUCGUGCAAUUUAUCACCAAGAAGGAAUGCUUGAGUACCGAGGCAGAGGUUGCAAACCGUAAAAUAGAGGUAUUGGGCAGUAAUCUUCGCCAUCUGACCUUAACAUCUGUGGUUGAUGAUCAAGCUUUACUUUCUAUCACUUCUCGGAAUUGCAAAAAUCUACGUACGCUCACAACAACUCACUCAAGUGUUGCUACGGUAUAUGCUAGUUUUAUUUUACAAGUUAAAUGUCUUAGGACGAUAAGGUUGUCUGGAAAUUCCAUCAAAGAACUCCCAAAAGAGAUUGGUGAAUUGGUACAUUUGAGGCAUAUUGAUUUGUCUAGGAGUAUAAAGUUGGAGAAGUUACCAGACACCAUUUGUGGUUUAUAUAACUUGUAUACCUUGGACCUUCGAAGAUGGAAAUCGCUACAUAAAUUGCCUGAUAACAUGGGAAAGUUGAUUAGCUUAAGGCAUCUUUACGUUGGGGAGAGUGACUCACUGAAGUACUUGCCAAAAGGGAUAGGGAGAUUAACAAGUUUGCAAACACUAGACGUUUGUCCUCUUUUUUCUGUUGACAAUGACGAAGCAUUUCAAGUUGGGGAUUUGGGAACCGUGAACCAGCUCCACGGCAGUCUCCAAAUAAGAAUUUUGGGGAAGGUGAAAGAUGGGAGUGAAGCACAACUGCGGGACAACAAGCAACUUUUUCAUCUCCAACUUGAUUUUGGUGAAGUGCGUGACAAGGCCGGAGAGAGCAGUGGACGAAAUAUGGAUGUCUUAAGACCACACGAUGAUCUGGAAUCUUUAGAGAUUUAUGGGUAUUUUGGCUCGACCUGGCCGAAUUGGUUGAUGUCUUUAAAAAAGUUGCGAUUCCUUACUCUGGAGGAUAAUUGUGUUUGUGAAAUUUUGCCUCCUCUUGGGAAAUUGCCGUUCCUUGAAGGACUCCACCUCGGGGCAAUGUCGGGUGUAAGAAAGAUUGGUGGUGAGUUUUUGGGAGUAGAAGAUGAUCAAACAUCUUCAUUCAAAUCAUCCUUGUCAAUAUUAUUCCCAAAAUUGAAGCGACUCCACUUUUACAACAUGUUGUCUUGGAAGGACUGGGGAGGCGUGAAAGGGUGGAACAAAGGAGAUUCUGGAAUUACUAUCAUGCCAUGUCUUUCUUCCUUAGACAUAACUAUGUGCUCUGAGCUAGAAACGCUGCCAGACUUCCUCUGCAAAAUGCCACUCAAGAAUCUUUCCAUUUUUUACUGUCCAACACUUGCCAAACGUUGCAAAGAAAGCAGUGGAGAGGAGUGGCCCAAGAUUUCUCACAUCCCAAACGUCAAGAUUUGUGCUAAUGACGUUUAAUCUUGGUGAGUUGCAGUGUUUUGAUUAUUUACUUCGUUUUGGAUAUGUACAAAUACAAUUAAUUUAAGGUGAAAAGUAUAUGAAAAAUAAUUAUAAUUAUUUGUAUUCCAAAUUGCAGAUAAUAGUGCAGAGGCCUAGGUCAAAUAAACCUCCAAGCUGUUUGGUGCGGCGCUAGUUCCCUCCUCAAGAAACGACGACGAUCAAAAUUUAACUGUAUUAAUUCCAAAAUCCCACUACGUUGAAUGAGUUGUUAAUUAAGGUAAGCUAGACAGUACUAUAUAUAUGUAUGUAUGUAUGUAUGUCAAGAAAACAUCUGCGGUUACUAAGUUCUAUGCAGUGAUUCACUAAAAUUAAAUAAGGAAAGUUUAACGAAAAGCUCUCUGUACUGUUCAUUUUAACGAAAAAUCACAUUUUUACACUAAAAAGUCAAUUUUGGUACUAUUCACUUUACUAUUUAUUUUGUCAUUAUCGUUAAAACUCAAAGUUUUCUAACCAUUUUUAUUAGUUUUCCUUUUAACAAGGGACAUAUACAAAAGAUAUUAAUAUUUUUCAACAAAAGAAAAUGUUAUUGGCACUUUCAAAAUCUCAUUUUACACUCUUCACAAGUAUAUUUUUCAUUCGUAAUAUAGAAAAUUUGGAGUGUAAAAUAAGAUUUUUGGAGUGCUAAUAAGAAUUCUCUUCAACAAAUUGUGGCUCAUUAGAGUUUUCUGCAAUAAUUUUGAUAAAUCCAAGUUAUUUACGAUAUUUAUUUAUUUAUUUAUUACAAGUGAUAUUACUAAUAUAAAAAAUUAGGUAUAAAUAUUAAAGAGAAGUCAAGCGUUUUAACUCGAGAUAUUGUGUGUACGUUAUACACUCAAUUUUCGAUGUACAUUAUCUUUUUAUUUGUAAAUUCCAUUUAGAUUUUGUGCAUGCAAUCAGCUGAAGUAACUGAGGAGCACUCGACCGCUGAAAGCAAAGGGACACUGCAACCUGCAGGGAGGGAGGAUGUCGAAGCAGGGUGAGGUCGUAUGCGUUACCGGUGGAAGCGGCUGCAUCGGAUCCUGGCUCGUCCGUCUCCUCCUCCACCGUGAUUACACCGUCCACGCCACCGUCAAGGAUCUCAGUAACUUCACCCUUGCUUUUCCCCUUAUCUACACAACCGCCACAGUUCCAUUCAUUCCAUUCGCGUUCAGUUCAAAAUUAAUAACGCCGUUGUUUUGUUUGUUGCAGAGGACGAUGGCGAGACGAAGCAUCUAGAAGCGUUAGUAGAGGGGGCAGAGUCGCGCCUCCGUCUCUUCCAGAUCGACCUCCUCGACUACAACUCCAUACUCGCCGCCGUCAAUGGUUGCUCCGGGGUCUUCCACCUCGCUUCUCCCUGCAUCAUCGAUACAGUCCACGACCCCGAGGUUCCCGCCAUAAAACAGUAUCAAAUUCCUUCUAAUUUUGAUUAUAUCUGAUUAAUUAUGCGAAAUUAUGCGUAAAUUUGAAAACGUGGUGCUUUUUUUUGUUUAUUCUGCAGAAGGAGCUCCUGGACCCGGCGAUCAAAGGAACGCUUAAUGUUCUGACGGCAGCGAAGAAGGCUGGGAUCAGCCGUGUGGUGCUGACGUCAUCCUCAUGCGCCAUCACUCCCAGCCCAAGCUGGCCGUCCGAUAAGGUCAAGGGCGAGGAUUGCUGGACAGACAUUGACUACUGCAAGCAGAAGGGAGUGAGUUACUCCAACGCCCUGUUUAAUGUCCGCAUUCAAUUUUCUUAUUGAAAGUAUGUUACUUUCGGUGCACGUUUCCCCUGCUUUUACUGUAUCUUUCAUCUUUUGAUUAUUAAUUCUUCAUUUUUAACUACUUGAAGUUUUCACAAUUGGGGACUGUAAUGCUGAUUGUGUUUGGUGUUUGGCUAGUUGUGGUAUCCAUUAUCGAAAACGCUGGCGGAGAAAGCUGCGUGGGAAUUUGCCAAGGAGAAGGGGCUGGAUGUCGUUGUGGUGAAUCCGGGCGCGGUGAUGGGCCCUGUUAUCUCGCCCAGGCUCAAUUCUAGCAUGUUAUUGCUCCUUCGCAUUCUUGAGGGUACUUUUCUCUGCAAAUUUGUAUUAGAAAAUCCUCUACGACUGCACCUAGAAGUAGAUUAUUGACUUUAUUUAUCCUCUAGCACUGCACUCUUAAAUUGUUUGAAUAAUCCACUAGCGGUUAUUGUUCUCUUGCCUGAUAGUAUGCCAUGUAAUGUUGCGAAAUUUGCACUUGAAUCAUAAAUUUAGACGAAAGUUGAUCUUUGAUUGACAGUUUGUACGAUGACAUAUCAUCUCAAUGGCAAGAGAACAUUUCCCAUUUAUUAUGUAUGAUGCUGUGGUUGGUUGAUGAACUAAAAAUGAGGUAAAAAUGAGGUAUUUUCUUUCUCUUAAGACAUUUUUGUUGUGCGGAAGCGGCAUUCGACUGUAAGUGAAUAGUAAAACAGAACAGAAACAAAAACCAACAUCAACAAGAACACCAAGAUUUAUACUGGUUCGGCAAUGCCUACAUCCAGUUUGGAGACGACGGAGUAUUCCACUAUAAUCAAUGAGAACAUACAAUAGUGUUUAUCACUCAAUUUCCCAAAGACCCAAAUAACCCAAGCUCUCACACUUACAAUAGGAAGAGAAAACCAAAAAAUACAAAGCAAGACAAUUUGAGAAAAUUUUUCUCUAUGCCGAAUGGCUUCUUGCUAUUUUUCUCUCUUCCUUGUUCUCCUCUUGUCUCUACUCCAUACUUAUGAGCUGCACCUUGCUCUCCUUUUAUAGCCAAAGAAAAGCUUCUCAAAGACAUCAAUGGCCAAAGGCCUACCAUCAAGUCAAAAGAGUUAGGCACAAAUUAGGCACAAAUUAGGCACAAAUGUUGUUUGCCUCCCAUUACCACAAAGUAGCCCAAAGAUUUGGACUUUGACUACAUGUUUGAGUCAAUAAUCAACAAUUUUUGCUAAGGAAAGAUUGAGUUUGGUACCUCAGCACUUGGAAGAUUUCUUCUUUCAUAACAGUCGAGAUUGCUAAUUGUUUUGCCGGUUAGUCCGUAAGCUUGAGAAGUUAGAUUGUGUGAGCAUGCGUAUGUGUAAUCAUAAAGGAACUCCUCUUCACCUCUUUUUUUAGCACAUGUUUCUUUAAGUUCUAAGGAUUUUCGAUAAAGUUUGUUUUGGAGAGGAAUGAGAAAAAGGAUGAGGCCCUAGAAAGUGGAAACAACAUAUAUAUAGUUUUGAGUUGCUCGAUCUUUGCUGCAGGUUGCACUGAAACAUAUGAGGACUUUUUUAUGGGAUCUGUGCAUUUUAAAGAUGUAGCUCUCGCACACAUUUUAGUGUAUGAGAACAAAUCAGCGACCGGUAGGCACUUGUGUGUGGAAGCUAUAUCACGUUAUGGUGACUUUGUGGCAAAGGUUGCUGAACUUUACCCUGAGUACAAGGUUCACAGGUAAGUUUUGGUCCACAAAAUGCAUUUGCAAAUGAAAUUGGGUGCAUAUCUUAUGUUUUAGAUGUUUGGUUUCCUGAUAAGUGAAUGUUUCGUCCCUUGUCAGAAGCACAACUUAAAAAUAUACUAUGUCUUGAUUUUUUAAACCGAGGUUUCUUAGAUGCACUGAACUCUUCUACAGCUAGAGGACCAUGGUUUUUUCUUUCUUUUUUUCCGUCCAUCAUGUGUUAUAGAUAUUUGAGACCAAAUUAGCGAAUUGAAAUCUGAUUUUGCCUAUAAAAGAGUUUUCAUGCGGGUAUAGAUUUGCAUACAUCAUCUUUCUUUGGUCUGUUUAGAAUCACUUCCAAAUGUUGCUUUCCAAGUUUAUCAACCGUUUGGUGCGUUCUCGCUUGCCUUGGAAGAAUUUUGUAAAUUUUUAGGUGGUGUGAGUGCCUGAUUUUGAAAAUGUUCGAGCUAGUAUGUUUACGUUUGUGUAGUUUGCCAAAGGAUACCCAACCCGGCUUGCUGAGGGAAAAGAGCGGAGCGAAGAAGCUAAUGAACUUGGGUUUAGAAUUCAUUCCCAUGGAUCAAAUUAUCAAGGAUGGUGUUGAGAGCCUAAAGAGCAAGGGAUUUAUUUCAUAAAUAAAACUGCAGGGAUAUGAAACUUAUCAUGGAUCUAGGUAUGUAUUGUACUAGUAGCGAGGACAUGUAGCCUGAAUGGUUGUUUCAACUCCUUUGAAUUUUCCUUUUUCUGUGAAGUAAAUAAUAUUAAUAUGAGUGUACGAUAAGUUUACCUUAAAUUUCAGACUUUAAUCGGGGAAUAUCAGUGCAUUGUUGGACUGGAACGCUAUGUGGUGGCUAACCAGUUCCACAUAAGUCCUCCCAGUCUACGUCAAAUUCUUUGUGUAAUAAGAGAAUUUCUCUUAAUUUUCACCGUACCGAAAGUUAAAAGGACUAAUAGCAAGUAAUUACGAACAUGGCUAGUACUGUGGAAGCUAAAGCAGCAGCAACAGCUCCUCCAUCUUCGGUGUUUGAUAUAAUGCGCCACCUUGGCGGGGGACAUUAGCAAAGUGGAUUCCAAUGUUCUCGAGAAAAUCCUACCAGAUUAAAUGUACGGACGAGCAGUUGAGGUGCGCACGGAAGAGUACCAUAGGCAGAGAUUUGAGUCCAGUUACUGAUAUGUUGUGGCGGAAUUUGUACGUGGAGUUCGGUGCUUCAAGGGCUGUUCAGGUGGUCGAAAACACCAAGAAGUUAUACCAUGCCUACAGUCUUGUGGAUAACGAGUUCAAAACUAAUUUAUUCCUUCAAUACUUAGUGCAAAUAUAUUGUUCUAUAAAAAAUAAAAAUAAAAAAUUAUACCAUUUAACACAACAUUAACCUGAUUUACAACGUCGGUACUCUCCCUAGCCUUGACCGGGCAAAGAGGGCAGUCGUUAAUUAAGUCUCACUGAAAGAAUGUGUAAACCGUACAAGUUACUGGCCUUGAAUAUGGUGAAACUUUAAACUUUGUUGGCGUUUAUAUCUCGUCAUGGUCCUGCUAUCUGCUCAACUGGUUUUCAUGCACGUAAGAUUAUAUUCUUACGUAACUAUAAACUUUUUUGGCGUUAAUUAACUUCUUGUGUUGUUGUAGCUGGUCUGCAAGUAGCCUGUGUUGGUUGUGCCGGAUUAGUUGCAUUUCCGGUGCUGAUAGAGAAGCUUUUGGAUAGACAUGGUUGAAUUUUAGCGCUUUGGCUAUGUUCUCCCAGUUUUGUAUGCUUAAAUUAGACAAUUUAGUACAUACAAAUCCAAUGAUCUUGUAUUAUCUUUUUUGUUCACUACAGUUCAGAUUUUUGUAAUUUGAAUGCGGACAACUGCAGAGCUUUUAACUCCACUCGAGAAAGACAUUCAGGUUCUGAGAAGAAGGUUUACGUUCUAAAACCAAAGAAAUAAGAGAUCAUGACCGUCGGCGAAACCAAAACCCCACCCUUUUCAACCGAUUCAAACAUUUCAAUCUCCCCGACUCUCUAGUCAACCGAGUAUUUUAUGGCCUGCCGUUGGUUCGGGUGCCGAUACAAGCCUUGUUGAAUUGUGGCCAAGUGGCCAUCACCUUUCCUAAUAAACAAACCAAAAGAAAAAAAAAAGGAGAAAGGACAACAAGAUUAUGUUUCCUUGUUUUGGGGAAAAGAAAAGUGAAAUUUGUCUAAAGUUUUUUCUUUGGUCCAUGUGAGAAGUCACGGGACUCUUGGGGUUUUUUAACUAGCAGCAAUAGUUGCCUUUUGGUGUGGGAAAAAGGUUGUCGCAUAGAAGAAAAAAUUAGAAGGGAGCAGCAGAAAGAAGAAGAGAGGUACGCAGCUCUCAUAUAAGAAAGAAAGGUGAUUUUCUUUCUUGGUUAGUUCUCACUCCAUCAAAGUUUUAUUGUUGUAAUAGCUUUGAGCUUUGUAUAGAGAAGAAAUUAAUCACUAUAUUUCUUUCUCUAUUUGUUUCUUUAGUGUGUGAGAGUUAUUGGGUGUAUUAGGUUAUUUGGGUUGUGAGAUUACCAACACUUUGUAAACUCCCAUUUGGUUGAUAGUGGAUUAUUGGGUGAGCUCCUACUGCUCCGAAGACGUACUCCAGUUACAUUGACUGUUGAGGAACCUCGUUAAAAUCUUGGUGUCUUUAAUAUUUUGUUCUUGCAUUUCAUUUGAUAUAUUUCCUGUGGGUUCAAAAGAGUUGGUUCUAAAAGGUUUGGUGCUAUCCUAGCACAACAAUUGGUAUCAGAGCACUGGUUGCUCUUGGGUACUGUCUAGUUGCCAAAGAUGUCAGACGGGCAAGAUGAAAAUCCUUUUGGAAGCAGCUCCGGGUUUGCAAGAACUACGGUGCAAAAUGCAAAGUUCGAAGUGAAAAAGUUUGAUGGCACAAACAACUUCGGGAUGUGGCAAUGUGAGGUCAAAGAUGUGUUGGCUCAACAAGAUCUACUUGCCGCUUUGGGAGAGAAGCCGGAAGCUAUGUCGAAGCCGGAAUGGGAGAAAUUAAAUUUGUGGGCUUGCUCUUCAAUUUGGUUGUGUCUUGCAAAAACUCAGAAGUAUUUUGUGAUGCGGGAGACAUUAGCAAGUGUGUUGUGGCAAAAAUUGGAAGACAAGUAUAUGACGAAAAGUGCAGAGAACCGGCUACACUUGAAGAAAAAGCUCUACCGCUUCCAAUACAAAGAAGGUACGAAAAUGAUUAGACACCUUGAUGCUUUUAAUAAGUUGAUUGCCGACUUAUUAAAUUUAGAUGAGGAUAUUAAGGAUGAAGACAAGGCCUUAAUAUUGUUGAAUUCCUUGCCGGACUCUUAUGAGCAUUUUGUUACCACUAUUAUGCAUGGUAAAGAAACUGUGAAAUUUGAAGAUGUGUCAAAUGCCUUGAUGAAUUAUGAGGCAUAGAGAUAAAACCCAUGAUAGUAACUCUGAAGCUUUAUUUGUUAGAGGUAGAUCAUCGGAGAGAAGAUCAUCUUCUAGUAGGAAAAAAUCACAGUCUCGACCUAGAGGAAACUCUAAAGGUAGAAAACCUUUGGAAAAGGAUGAAUGUGCCUUUUGUCGUAAUAAGGGCCAUUGGAAGAAAGAUUGUCCUAAAUUGAAGACCAAAGGCAAAGAAAGUUCUGAAGCUAAUGUUGCUGAGGUUGAAAUAGAUUUUCUGAUUUUGCUUUAACCACUUCCUCAUCAUUUGAUUGUGCUACUAAGUGGGUGUUGGAUACGGGUUGUACUCAUUAUAUGACUCCUCACAAGGAUUGGUUUUCAAGCUUGAAAGAGUUUGAUGGUGGUGGUGUGUUCAUGGGAGAUGACAAUCCUUGCACAACAAAAGGAAUUGGUACAGUUCGUUUGAAGUUGCAUGAUGGCAUGGUUAAAGAGUUGACAGGUGUUCGGUAUGUACCGAAUUUGAAGAAAAUCUUAUUUCUUUGGGUACUUUGGAAUCCAAGGGCUUCAGGUUUCAUUCAGAUGGACAGACAUUGAAAGUUACUUAUGGUGCACUUGUUAUGAUGAAAGCUCCUCGAUGUGGCCAUUUGUAUUUAUUGCAGGGAAGCACUGUGACAGGUGAAGCAUCUGUAGUCUCUGAAAAUAUGGGCACAUCUGAUUCAGAUACUACUAGACUGUGGCAUAUGAGAUUAGGCCAUGCCGGUGAGAAAGCUCUACAAGGGCUUGUGAAACAAGGUCUUAUAAAAGGUGCCAUGACUUGUAAACUUGAUUUCUGCGAGCAUUGUGUCUUGGGGAAGCAAACUAGAGUGAAGUUUGGUACUGCUGUACAUCAGACGAAGGGCAUUCUUGAUUAUGUGUAUUCGGAUGUUUGGGGUCCUACAAAGACUCCCUCUUUGAGUGGUAGACAUUGGUUCGUGACCUUUGUUGAUGAUUAUUCAAGAAGGUCUUGGGUCUACACUAUGAAGCACAAGAGUAAGGUGUUGAGCAUUUUCUUGGGUUGGAAGAAAAUAGUUGAGAACCAGACUGGGAGAAAGAUUAAGAUUUUGAGAUCGGAUAAUGGUGGUGAAUACACAUCCGAUCCUUUCUUUAAAGUUUGCAAAGAGGAAGGAAUUGUGAGACAUUUCAGUGUUCGGGGAACUCCACAACAAAAUGGAGUUGCAGAAAUAUUGAAUCGAACCUUGCUUGAGAAGGUUAGAUGUAUGUUGUCUCAGUCGGGUUUAAGCAAGUCAUUUUGGGCAGAGGCAGUUAAUUAUGCAUGUCACAUCAUCAACCGGUUACCCUCAGCUGCUGUUCAGGGUAAGACACCAAUGGAGGUAUGGACUGGAAAAAGUUCUUCUGAUUAUGACUAUAUCCGUAUUUUUGGUUCACCUGCUUAUUUUCAUGUGACUGAAAAUAAACUUGAUCCUAGAGCCAAAAAGGCUAUCUUUCUUGGUUUUAGUAGUGGUGUUAAAGGUUACAGGUUGUGGUGCCCAGAGAUGAAAAAACUUGUAAUUAGCAGAGAUGUGACAUUUGAUGAAGAAAGUAUGUUCAAAGACUCUGAGAAGAAUGUGAAAGAUGUCCAACAGGUGGAGCUUGAGAAAGUUGCAUCUGGUACUUCAAAUCCUAUUUCCGUUGAUGUCGAAGCCACUACAAGUGAAGAAGUUGGAGACCAUGAGGAUGUUGAAGAAGUUGAACUUGAAGAUUCUAUUCAAGUUGAAGAGCAAGUUUCACCUCAAGAGUCUAUUGCCAAGAACAGAGGAAAGAGACAAAUUACCAAGCCAGCUCGGUAUAGUGACUAUGUUUAUUUUGCUCUUCCUAUUAUCACUGAUGAGAUUCCAUCCAAUAUCGAGGAAGCCAUUGAGAGUGAGGAGAAUGAGAGGUGGUGCAAUGCCAUGGGUGAUGAGAUGAAUUCUCUCUUGAAGAACAAGACUUGGGAGUUAGCUAAAUUACCUAAGGGCAAGAAAGCUAUUGGUUGCAAAUGGGUGUAUGCCAAGAAGGAAGAUGCUGAUGAGAAAAACAAUGUGAGAUUCAAAGCAAGAUUAGUUGCUAAAGGGUAUGCACAAAAGGAGGGCAUUGAUUACAAUGAAAUUUUUUCUCCGGUUGUGAAACACUCCUCAAUUCGUAUUAUGUUAGCUCUUGUUGCACAUUAUGAUCUUGAGCUUGUGCAACUUGAUGUGAAGACGACUUUCCUACAUGGUGAUUUGAAUGAAGAGAUCUAUAUGUGUCAACCGGAUGGGUAUAUAGUGAAAGGGAAGGAAAAUUUGUUUUGCAAAUUGAAGAAAUCGCUUUGUGGCUUGAAGCAAUCUCCAAGGCAAUGGUAUUUGAGGUUUGAUAAAUUUAUGAGAGGCCAAAAUUAUUCUAGAAGUCAAUAUGAUCAUUGUGUGUACUUCAAGAAGUUGAAAGAUGGGUCUUUCAUUUAUUGUUGAUAUAUGUUGAUGAUAUGUUGAUUGCCUCAAAGAAUGUUGAAGAGAUUGAAAAAUUGAUGAAGCAAAUGAAGAAUGAGUUUGAGAUGAAGGAUCUUGGUGAAGCGAAGAAGAUCCUUGGCAUGGAGAUCACUAGAGAUAGAGAGAAGGGUUUGGUCAGUUUGAAUCAAAGACAAUACCUUGAGAAGUUGAUUCAGAAGUUUGGAGUUCAUGAUUCAACCAAACCGGUUAGUAUUCCUUUGGCUCCUCAUUUUAAAUUGAGUUCUCUACAAUGUCCUAAAAAUGAUAAAGAGAAGCUGCAAAUGAAAAGUAUACCAUAUGCAAAUUUGGUUGGUAGUUUGAUGUAUGCAAUGGUAUGCUCUAGACCGGAUAUUACUCAUGCAAUUGGCAUGGUGAGUCGAUAUAUGCAUAAUCCAGGUAAAAAGCAUUGGCAAACAGCUAAGUGGAUAUUGAGAUAUCUCCAUGGUACUCGAGAUGUUGGUUUAUGCUUUGAGAGGGAUGACUCUGGUAUUGGUCAUUUUGCAGUUGGUUAUGUUGAUUCAGAUUAUGCAGGUGAUCUGGAUGGAAGGAAGUCUACUACAGGCUAUGUGUUUACUAUGGCUAAAUGGCCAGUUUGUUGGAGGUCCAUUUUGCAGUCGUCUGUUGCCUUGUCUACUACAAAGGCUGAAUAUAUGGCAGUUGCUGAAGCUAUAAAGGAGGCCAUUUGGAUACAUGGGCUGAUUAGAGAUUUGGGGGUUGAUCAGAAGCAGGUGGAGGUACAUUGUGAUAGUCAAAGUGCCAUUUAUUUGGCUAAAUAUCAGGUUCAUCAUGCGAGGACCAAGCACAUAAAUGUGCGUUAUCACUUUGUUCGUGAAAUUGUUAGUGAAGGGGAAAUCAUUCUCCAGAAGAUUCCAACUAAAGACAACCAUGCUGAUAUGUUGACUAAGGUUGUUGGUGUAGCCAAGUUUGUUCACUGUUUGAACUUGGCUCACAUUAUGCCUAUAUAAAGAAGGCGUUGAGCAGUAGGAGUUUUGGAGCAUUUGGCUCGGCAUGAAUUGUUCUCUUGCUAGUGUUUGGGAGUGAUUUUUUGGGUCAAUUGUGUUGGUUGGCUUAUCAUGGCGUUUUCGGAACUUGGCCAAGGUGGAAAUUGUUGAAUUGUGGCCAAGUGGCCAUCACCUUUCCUAAUAAACAAACCAAAAGAAAAAAAAGGGAAAGGACAACAUGAUUAUGUUUCCUUGUUUUGGGGAAAAGAAAAGUGAAAUUUGUCUAAAGUUUUUUCUUUGGUCCAUGUGAGAAGUCACGGGACUCUUGGGGUUUUUUAACUAGCAGCAAUAGCUGCCUUUUGGUGUGGGAAAAAGGUUGUCGCAUAGAAGAAAAAAUUAGAAGGGAGCAGCAGAAAGAAGAAGAGAGGUACGCAGCUCUCAUAUAAGAAAUAAAGGUGAUUUUCUUUCUUGGUUAGUUCUCACUCCAUCAAAGUUUUAUUGUUGUAAUAGCUUUGAGCUUUGUAUAGAGAAGAAAUUAAUCACUAUAUUUCUUUCUCUAUUUGUUUCUUUAGUGUGUGAGAGUUAUUGGGUGUAUUGGGUUAUUUGGGUUGUGAGAUUACCAACACUUUGUAAACUCCCAUUUGGUUGAUAGUGGAUUAUUGGGUGAGCUCCUACUGCUCCGAGGACGUACUCCAGUUACACUGACUGUUGAGGAACCUCGUUAAAAUCUUGGUGUCUUUAAUAUUUUGUUCUUGCAUUUCAUUUGAUAUAUUUCCUGUGGGUUCAAAAGAGUUGGUUCUAAAAGGUUUGGUGCUAUCCUAGCACAACAAGCCUUACCUCAAUGGCCUCGAAUCCGGAGAACGAAUCUACAGCCUCGAGAGAGGUCGAGAAGCCUCCGAUUGAGCCAGUUCGGCUGCCGACGGUGGAGGAGAUGCACGGUCAAGACAUUUGGAACAACUGCGCUGUCCGUAGCGUCGUUAGUGGAGUUAUGGGUAUGGUUAAAGUUCUUUCAUUUGCUUAAUUUUUGGAUUCUCUCACAUGGGUUUUUGUUUGUUUUCCUCUCUUUGUUUGGUUGCCGAGAAAAUGUGGGAAAAAGUAAGUCUUUUUUUUUAGUGUUGGUUUUUUUUCCCUUUAUUUCUGUUUGGUUGCCGAGAAAACUUUGGGAAGUUACUGUCUUUUUGUUUGUAUGUGGUCUCAGAAUUGUAUUGUUGUGGGGUUCAGAAAGUGCAGAAGAUUGGUGUAUUAGUAAGGUUGUGAUAGAUAUAGUCUAAAUUUCGUUACUUUUAAGUGAGUAUUGGGGUUUGCUCUAUAUAGCAAACUCUACCAGAAGGUUACAUUGUUGUUUACAUUGAUUUUGGCCCGGAAAAGCACUUGGAAGUGCUUUCCCAGAAGAGCUUUUAAGUCUAUCAACUAGAGUUUUUCCAUGUACUUUUGUAUAGAACUUAACACUAAACAGAUGUUGAUUGUUAAUUCUAUAAGCUUUGGAAAUUUCAUAGGUUGUGGGCUUGGGUUGAUGAUGGGUUUGCUUCUCGGAGCGUUAGACACCCGUAUAAUGCAAGACGAAAUGACUGGUAAACGACAAUUCAUUUAGCAAGCAAAGUCGAUGGGCCGGAGGAGUUGGAGUUCUGAAAAAGCAUUUGCAGUUAUGGGAUUGGUUUUCUCAGCUGCCGAGUGUGUUGUUGAAAAGGUAUUCUGGAUAUGUCAAAAUUCAUGAUCGUAAAUUUUAUUUGAUCGAUGAGGUUUAAUUUCUUUGCUAUAGGGACUAAUUCUGGAUUAUUGUUUUCAGGCACGGGCUAAACAUGACACAACAAAUACAGUUGUUGUUGGAUGUAUAACUGGAGGUGCACUGUCAGCCAAAGGUAACCAACUUUCUCCAUCAGUUAUCAUCGUUUCUUUAUUGAUAUACAAGGCUUUGAGGGCGACCCUUGCCCUAAAAGACACGUGAUAUAACAUGGGUGAAAGAAGAGUAAACCGGACAAGUACCGGCCUUGUAGGUGUUAUUCUCAUCAUGGUCCAUGUUAAGAUUAGACCCUUACGCCUCUUUAUGUUGUCCUGUUGUAGCUGGUCCGCAAGCAGCCUGUGUUGGUUGUGCUGGCUUUGCUGCAUUUUCGGUGCCGAUAGAGAAGUUUUUGGAUAGACUUGAUUGAGUUUGAGCGCGUUGCCUGUGCUGCCCCAGUUUUGCGGACACUCAAAAUAUGACAAUUCAGCAGAAGUGCCCUGCGCUGAUACAAAUGUUUUGUGCUUAGGUUGAACUUCAGCCCUUGUUAUGGUUAUUUAUCCAAAAUUGUUUAUGAAGGGAUGUUCUAGCGAACAUACAAAUCCAAUGAUUUUGUGUAAUGCAUUCACUCGACUACAGUAGAGAUUUUUUGAGAAUCUACACCGUAUUUUUAGCGGUACUAUCAUUGAUUUAGAUUUGUAAUUCAACAAAUGAACACCCAAACGAAAGGAUUAAUUCCCGGUAGGAAGUCUCAACUCGAGAAAGAUAUUCAGAUUUUGAGAAGGUGAUUUGCGCUCUAAAGAAAUGAGCUUGCUUGCUGGAUAGGCAUCAAGGCAAAAUCUUGGUAAAUCAAGGCAAAAUCUUGGUAAAUCAAAGAAUCUUGCUUUAUAAAAUCAAAGAAACUUAACAAGUCACCAUAGACGGUUUGGAUGGAAUUUAUCGUGAUAAUUAAAUAAGCAAAUGGUCUUGGAUUAAAUUGAAUUUUUGCAACAAACAAUGAAAUUGACCAACACUUGUUCUAUAAGAAACAACGAAAUUUCAUCGAUAUAAUUGAAUAGACAAAUGGUUUUGAACAUUAGUAGCUUGAGAUCUAAUAUAAUUUUUUUUUUCAAAAAAAUAAUUACCUAAGAGAACAGGGGCACGAAUGCCAAAUUCCGCUUCACCGUGACAUAUAUGCUUGCUUCUGUCAUUGAGGAUUGAUUCGUAAUCCAUCAUGUUCGUUUAUAUGAGAUUCUGAGAAGAAGGUUUACGUUCUAAAAAAAAAUUAGUCUGCUUGCCGACCAGUGGCGGAGGCAGUUAAGGACUACAAUAGUCCUAAGCCUACUCUCACUUAAAAAAUAAGAUUAGUCUACUACACCUAUUUCUAUUGCUUUGCAGCCCUUCUCAACAACUAAAACAAAUUCAAUCAUUAUCUAUUUUUCAUCUCAUAGAUACCAUCCCAAAAAUAAGUAUAUAUUUUAAAUAGUCAUUUAUCACAAGGAGUAGUGCUAUAUGCAUACAUUUUUUUUACCUUUAACACAUUCUUGUUAAUUUAUGUUAUUCGAUAUUCAAUUUAUUCAAUCAGAUGAUCGCAAAUUGAAAGGGUGUAUGGAAAGCAAAAAGAGGUGUGUGGAUAGCACAAUUCUCUCACAAAUCAAUAACAUUAAAUUAAAGCCCAUCAUUCACUUUUAAUUAAAAUAAAAUCGUCUUUCACUUAUGCAUGGGGAGAGUUUUUACCUUUUCUUAUUGAAUUUCAUAUAUUUAGCCAUUCUAAAUCCCAAAUUUAUUGAAUAAAGAACAAAAAGGUUUGUAAUACUCUAUUAUUCAUUAUAAAACAUUUGUUUCUAUUCUAUCCCACCUCUUACUUGAGUUUAGGGUUUGCAAAGAUUUUCGUACUUCUCUCUAUUCAGUUUAAUAAUUAUUUAAAUACUAUAGAUGACAUUAUGCAACUUUUUCAUUGCAAUUCGUCAAGAAUAAUUUUGAUUACUAUGGAUAGAUAAAAUUAUCUAUGCAUAUGUUAAUUUUGACUACUUAAUUAUUUGGAUAACUAUUAUGAUGUUUUGCAUUAGUAAUUUUAUAACCACUAUUCGUUUUUUCUUCUUCUAUACUUGUUUGAGGCCCCUCCUCACAAGAAAUCUUGGCUCCGGCACUGUUGCCGACACAGCCACUAUAGAUUCACCCCUCGAAAUUUGUUAUUCCUUUCAUCCAAGGAGAGCAAACAGCAGCAUCAAGGCAAAUCUUUUUGGUAAUAAGAGCAAAGAAUCUUGCUUUGUAGAAAGCAAGCAAGAAAACAAAGGUGUCCACCGUCUAUAUAAACUAGCAAAGUAGACAAGCAAUCGCACAACCAUCCUGCAUCAUUAAGUUUAUCUUCAUAUAUACUUUCCUACACGGCUGACUUUUUCUUCCUCUCUACUCUCAACCGAUUUCUAAGUUUCUAACCCUGAAAAUGGCCGAUGCGCUCAUUUCCAUUCUACUAGAAAACUUGGCUUCAACAACUUAUCAAUAUGUAGCAGACGAGGUGAUACUCGUUCUGAACAUUAAGAAAGAAGUUGAAGAAUUCGCUGACAACCUCAAAGCUAUUGAAUCUGUGCUUGAGGAUGCAGAGCGAAGGCAAAUGAAGGAGGUCAACGUGCAAAACUGGCUGGAUAACCUGAAGGAAAUAUCGUACGAGAUGGUGGAUGUGGUGGAUGAGUGGAACACGGACAUCCUGAGACAAGAAUUUAAGAAACAAGAAAGACAAGGUGCAACUCAUAUUACUCCUCAGAGGAAGGUAAGUUUCGCUAUCUUCGCUCGUUGUUUUUGUCUUGGCCAAGUCGGCAAGAUAAUUAUUCGUCGUAAAUGCUCUCAAGAUAAAAGAUCUAAAUGAGCAGUUAGCUGGGAUUUAUAAGCAAAGAAAAAUGUAUAAUUUUCAAAUCACUGAAAGAACAGCAAACUUCGUCUUUUGUCGAUAUGUUUGAGAUAUUUGGUCGAGAAAAGGAAAAAGAUAGUUUGAUAAGGAAGUUGGUGAGUGAUGCUAGUGAAGAAGGGAUGAGGCUCCUCAUCAUCCCUAUUGUAGGGAUGGAAGGCAUGGGAAAGACAACUUUGGCUCAGUUAGCCUGUAAUGAUGCCACUGUUGAAGCUCAUUUUUAAAAGAGAAAAUGGGUUUGUGUGUCAGAACCUUUCGAUGAGAUAAAGAUUGCCAAAGAGAUUAGUGGUGAUGCCUCCUCAAGUUCAAUUGGGUUGGAUCAUGUCUUAGAAUCUAUCUUAGGAUCCAUUAAGGGGGUAAAAUUUCUUCUUGUGUUGGAUGAUGUGUGGAACGACGACUUCAAAAAGUGGGAUCAAUUAAGGAUUCCAUUGAUGCAAAAUGGGGCUGAGGGCAGUAGAUUACUAGUAACCACUCGAAAACAAAAUGUUACUAGUAUGAUGACAGCAACCUCUCACAUGAUCAAUCUUGCAGAGUUGAGUGAAGAAAAUUGUUUGUCAAUCUUCAAUCACAUGGCAUUUUCUAACACAGAAGUAGACGAGUCUGAGGUGUUUGGAGAUAUCAGUAGGGAAAUUGUAAAAAAGUGCAAGGGUUUGCCACUUGUUGCAAAGACUUUAGGUAGUAUGAUGUGCAAUAAGACAACCAGGAUUGAAUGGUUGGACGUUCUGAAUAGUAAAAUAUAGGAUUGGGAAGAAGUGGAGCAAGAAGUUUUCCCGCCAUUCUAAGUUACUAUGAUUUGGCCUCAAGAAAUAGAUGUUGCCUUCUAUAUUGUGCUAUUUUCCCAAAAGAUUACGAGUUUAGUAGGGAUGAGUUGAUUAAUCUUUGGAUGACACAAGAUUAUCUUAAUUCCAGGGAGAAUAAAGAUAAAGGAAAAAUCGGUCAAGUUGUUUUUGAUAAUUUAGUUGUGCGGUCUUUUUUUCAAGAUUUUGAAAAACACCUUGACACUGGUACAAUAAUAGGUUGUAAAAUGCAUGACAUUAUACAUGACUUUGUGCAAUUUAUCACCAAGAAGGAAAGUUUGAUUAUGGAGGGCUGAGGGUGCAAACUGUAAAAUAGAGGUACUGGGCAGUAAUCUUCGCCAUUUGAACUUAAAGUCUAAAGCUUAUCGUCGAGGUGUACUUUCUAUCACUUCUGACAAUUGCAAAAGUCUAUGUUGGAAUGCAUGCAAGUCAUAUCUUUUGUUAAAAUGCAUGCAUGAAAUAAACAUGUUGGAUGACUAGUGAAGUUAGGCUAGUCAACCUUCUUUGUGUAAAUUAGGCAAGUUAGGCAAGUUAGGAAAUUAGGCAAGUUAGGCAAGUUAGGCAAGUUAGGCUUAUGUUCUCUUUCUUUUCCUAUAUAAUGUUUCAUCUUGUAAUUGUUUUGAUAUGAAAUACACAUAAAAAAUUCAACAUGGUAUCAAAGCAGGAACUCGAAAUUCCUGGCUCUGUUGAUCGUUUCCGCUAAGUUUCUUUUACUCUAAGCCAAGAUGGCUGUAGAACAUUAUGAAGCUGAGUGCUCGAUGGAUGCUCUGUUGAUCAUUUCUGCUAAGUUUCUUUUACUCUAAGCCAAGAUGGCUGAAGAACAUUUACUCUAAGCCAAGAUGGCUGGAGAACAUUUACUCUAAGCCAAGAUGGCUGGAGAACUUUUACUCUAAGCCAAGAUGGCUGGAGAACAUUUACUCUAAGCCAAGAUGGUUGGAGAACAUUAUGAAGCUGAGAGCUCGAUGGAUGCUUUAGCUUUACCUAACGUUGUUCAAGUUUGCGGCACGAAGCCAUUUCAAGUUUGUUUGUUUGCGGCACGAAGCCAUUACUGUUUGUUUGCGGCACGAAGCCAUUUCAAGUGGGAAUUUGGUAACAUGGCGCAGCAAGAAGCAAAGCGUUAUUUUUACUAAACCUCUUCCUACGGUUCAGUUCAUGCGCAUUCUGUCCAAGCUUGGCUCAAGGAAUCCCCUCGAUCCAGCUUGAGGGGGAGUGUUGGAAUGCAUGCAAGUCAUAUCUUUUGUUAAAAUGCAUGCAUGAAAUAAACAUGUUGGAUGACUAGUGAAGUUAGGCUAGUCAACCUUCUUUGUGUAAAUUAGGCAAGUUAGGCAAGUUAGGAAAUUAGGCAAGUUAGGCAAGUUAGGCAAGUUAGGCAAGUUAGGCUUAUGUUCUCUUUCUUUUCCUAUAUAAUGUUUCAUCUUGUAAUUGUUUUGAUAUGAAAUACACAUAAAAAAUUCAACAGUCUACGUACGCUGAUAGCAAUUAAUUCAAGUGUUGAUAGGGUAGGCGCUAGUUUUAUUUUAGAAUUUAAGUGUCUUAGGACGAUAAAUUUGUUUGGAAAUUUCAUGGAUGUACUCCCACAGGAGAUUGGUGAAUUGGUGCAUUUGAGACAUAUGGAUUUGUCUUGGAGUGAAAAGUUGGGGAAAUUACCAGACGCCAUUUGCGGUUUAUACAAUUUGUAUACCUUGGACCUUCGGGGAUGCUAUGCACUUGAAAAAUUGCCUGAUAACAUGGGAAAAUUGAUUAGCUUAAAGCAUCUUUACGUUGGCCAUUGUGACUCGUUGAAGUACUUGCCAAAAGGGAUAGGGAGAUUAACAAGUUUGCAAACACUAGACGUCUGUCCUAUGUUUCCAGUUGAUAGCGUCAGAGCAUUUCAAGCUGGGGAUUUGGGAAGUUUGAACCAGCUCCAGGGCAGUCUCAGAAUAAGCAUUUUGGGGUAGGUGAAAAACCGGAGUGAAGCACAAUUGCGGGACAAGAAGCAACUUUUUCAUCUCCAACUUGAUUUUGGUGAAGUGCGUGAGGAUCUGGAAUCUUUAGAGACCAAUGUGCAAAUAAUGAAUGUCUUACGACCACAUGAUGAUCUGGAAUCUUUAGGGAUUUAUGAGUAUUCUGGCUCGACUUGGCCGAAUUGGUUGGUGUCUUUAAACAAGUUGCGAUUCCUUACUCUGCAGUAUAAUUGGGGUUGUGAAACUUGGAAGAUUGCCGUUCCUUGAAAAGCUAUACGUAAGGGGGAUGGGUGUAAGAAAGGUUGGUGGUGAGUUUUUGGGAGUAGAAUAUGAUGAUCAAACAUCUUCUUUGUUCAAAUCAUCCUCAUCAAUAUUAUUCCCCAAAUUGAAGCAACUCAAAUUUAAUGACAUGUGGUAUUGGAAGGAUUGGGAAGGCAUGAAAGGGGGGAACAAAGUUGUUUAUACCAUAUUUAGGGCCUCGUAUUUAGACCUCGUAUAAAUACUCGAGGGACUUAAAUGUAAUUAUGUAAUAAAGGAAGGGGCAAAUAUGUAAUUAGGGGAGGAUCCCUUAUUCUAUAAAAGGGCAUCUUCACCCUCACAAACUUUAAGCCUCUCCUAUCUAGAGCAAAGCUUUCACACUCUCUCCUUCGCAAAUACUCUCAGAGAAAUACAAUCAGUGUGGACGUAGCCCAAACCUUGGGGUGAACCACGAUACAUCUUGUGUUAUUUACAUUUCAUGUAGAUUCACGGUCGGAUUUACGUUGUUCCAAGACCUCCGGUUUUAUGCAUCAACAUUUGGCGCCGUCUGUGGGAAACGACAUGAAAAGUUAUGUCGUUUCUCUCUCAAUUUUUCAUCUCACCACCGUGAAACCUUCACAACCUCACCACUAUCCACCGUAGAUCUGAAAAACCCACACAGAGACACAAUCGUUUUCUCUGACAAAAUCUCAUAAACUCGUUCAGAGACGAGACCACAAACUAACAACCCUCUUCUUUUUUUCACCUUUGACCGUACUUCUUGGUGAGUUCAAAUUUCCAAUUGAAAUCCCAGUAGCAGAAAUGCAAAUGUUAAAUAUCACUUUGAAUUGGAGGCCUCUUUCGACUUCCACUCCAUGAUCGAAUCCUAAGCUCGAAUUCCAAGCACUAUCAGUCGCGGAGCUCAAAGAGCGCCACGCGGUGGCGAGCGACACCGUCAACUCGCUAAGAGAGCGGUUGAAGCAGAAGCGCGUUUCCUUACUUGACACAGAUGUGGCUGGGUAUGUAAGGUCACAAGGGAAGACUCCCCGCCAAGCUCAACGCACAGAUCCGCCAAGCUCAACGCAAAGAUCCGCCGCGACCCACUCGAUCGUUUUUUAUUUUCAGAGAGCACCAUGGCCUUUGUAUUAUCUUUUCCUGUAAAACUUCAUCCUUCAAACCAUCAGGUGGGGUAGAUCCUGCUUUCCUCCAUCAUGGCUUCGCAGGAUAAAGGUUGACCGCUACCGAAAUUCGGGGAAUGGGAUGUAAACUACCCAGCUUCAGCUGAAGGAUUUACUGUUAUAUUUAACAAGGUCAAAGUUGACAAGAAGACCAGUGUGGCUCAUCUCCAUAGCCGGUCCUCCGUGGCAGCUCUUCACCAUCACCCGGCCUUUCAAACUUAGUCCUCCCAUAGCUCGGCCUUCUCGACGGCUCUUCGCCGUUUAGCUAAAAAUAUGGGUGAUAGGUAGCAUGCGCUUUGUUGAAGUGGCUUUGGUAGAACCAGAUAAACGUGUUGUAGCACUGGCAGAUGCGUAUUUCUUCCCACCCUUCCAGCCGUCAUUGUUUCCCAGAACCAAAGGUGGACCUAUGAUUCCUAGUGAACUUCCUCCAAGGCAAGCGAGACUUGUGGUUUAUAAUAAAAGAUCAAAUGAGACGAGCAUCUGGAUUGUUGAACUAUCAAAGGUGUAUGCAACAACUAGAGGUGGUCACCAUAUGGGUAAAGUCAUUUCAUCCAAAGUUGUUCCAGAUUUUCAGCCCCCCGUGGUAUAUAAGCCCAGGCCCAUAGAGUCCCCCACUGCCCCUUCCACAGCUUUCGCACCAACACAUACAAGCUCACUUUCAUGAAGUCCCCUUUCUGGCAUUAAAAUUAUAUUGGUUACACAUCCUAGAACUGGUGACUUGAGGGAGUCUCAAAAGCUACAUUUACAACUUGUAUGUCGAGUAUGUGGUGACUUAAGAGCCGAAAGAUCCAAAUUCAAAGAGGAGUCGAGUGUGAGGUGGCUGCUUUUUCUGAUGUUUCUGCUGCCGUGUUUCAGCCCGUCGCCUCCAAUAUCUCCAUUCUUGAGCAGUGAUAGGAGCAUAUUUAUGCGACUGAGUUAGCUUGUUCUCAUGCAUUUAUGUUGUUAUUUCUUAGUUAAUUAUGUAUUUUAAGUUAUUUUCGUGUGUUUGUAGGUCCAAUGGGUUAAUGUGGCAAAUAAGUGCAUUUUGGAGCAUUUUUAGGCAUGGAAUGGAUAGCUUAUGCUUAGAGCAAAAGGAAUGGACGAAAUUUGAAGUUUGUGCAUCAUCAUCUCCCUAUAAAUAACCGUUUUAGCACACUCAUUUCACCCAACACAUUCACCUACCAUUACAUACACUCAUUUCACCCAACACAUCCACUCAUUACAACCACCCAACACAUUCACCUACCACUACAUCCACUCAUUUCACCCAACACAUCCACUCAUUUCAACCACCCAACACAUUCACCUACCACUACAUCCACUCAUUACCACCACCCACUACAUCCUCUUCCUAGCCUAUAAAUACAUUCAUCCACCCUUCAUCAAAAGAGAGAUAUAUCAAUCAAAACACAUCCAUUCAUCUUCACAUCCAUUCCUCCAUAGAAACAAACCUUCAAACACUUGCCAACACCUUGUGCCGUAGCAAAAGAAUGGAAGGAAAGUGCUUGGAUGUGCUUGUUGUCCAACUUGGAUCGUUGGAGUGUUUAUGUGUUUUCUUUCUUUUGUUUCCAAUGUUUAAAUUCAUUUUAUUUUGUUUUGUUGUGAAGAUGAGUGGUUAAACCCCUCUUGGCUAGGGGUGAUUUCAAAGCCAUGAUUAUGUGUGUAAUAUGAUUUGAUAAAUUCCAGUUAUGAACUCUUGAAUCGUAAAUGCAAUUGGCUUAACUAUUUGAUUGAUAACUUAUUUGUAUUUGUUGAUUAAGGGUCGACACUUAAUUGGCAUGCAUUAAUCCGUUGCUAGAAUAUAAAGAAGUUUCACAUAAUCGCUACAAACUUAUAUUCACAUGUAGUGAAGGUCGCUUAUAAACAAUCGUGUUAAGUUCAAUUCCUAGCAUGAGUGACAUGAUGCCAUAGUUGCAAGUGUUUUGUCAAUGCUUAUGAUUUUCAUUAAACGUAAUGAUAUUUGAUUGUAUCUCUAUUAUGAUGUCAUGUAGGGAACUUUAGAAUAAUGUUUUGGGUUGCCAAAUGAUGUCAUCCAAUCAAAUAAAACAAGGAAAAUCUUAGAGUUAAUUAGUGAUGUCACGGUUAAUUUGGAGCAUUGUCAUUCAUAAUUCAAUGAAGUAGUAACUGGAAAUCGAGUUAUUUGCAUACAUGUCAUGUGUAGAAAAAAAGCCUCUAUCUAUCUCAUCCAUCAUCUUAUUUCUCAAAUUUGUUUUACAAUCUGUCUAGUUUUUCAUAAUUGUUUGUUUGUUUCAACUUCGUCCAAAACUCAAUCCCCAUUUACUUUAGUGUGUCUAAUUAGUUGUAAUAUGUUUUAAUUUGUGUUUUUAAAUGUUUUGAUUCAAGUAAAAGUCAAUUUUCGUCCAAAGUCAUUUCUAGUGUCUAGUUUAAGUUUAUUUAGUUGUUUUAAGUUGUUUUGAGUAUUUUAAGUUUGCUUUGAGUCUUGUGAGUCUUGUUAAGUAUUUUUAAGUUUAGUUUUAUGUUUUUGAGUCAGUUUAGAGGUUAUUAGCAAGCCCUCCUAAUAUCCGGUCCAGAACGAUCCAUACUUAUACUUGUACUACAAUUGUCAAAAGAGGGUUAAAUUUGUGUGUUAAGAUAAUUUUCGCAUCAAGCAGCUCAAGACCUUUGCUGUUGACAAAAUGAUAGACUUGCCGUUGAGAUAAGAUCCCUCUUUUCUUUAUUAUCAAAAGAGGGUUAAAUUUGUGUGUUAAGAUAAUUUUCGCAUCAAGCAGCUCAAGACCUUUGCUGUUGACAAAAUGAUGGACUUGCCGUUGAGAUAAGAUCCCUCUUUUCUUUAUUAUUUUACUUUAUCAUCAUUACUUCCCUAGCCACCAGAAAAUGAUGGAACUUUCAUGAUACAAACCCAUACUCAAAGAAAUCAGAGGCACAAUGGAAAGAUACCAAGAAAAGCAGUGGGAACAGAAAAGCAAAAAAAAAAAAAAAAAAUAAAAAAAAAGAAAAGAGGAGUGAUGGGCACGACCAGGCUGUCCAAGAAAGCAAGUGGGUGGUAUCAAGGCUGUCAUGUUACGUUUUACAGAAGAACAUGCAGGAAACGGAAAAGAGGAAACAAAACAAAAGCAAAGCAGAAAGCAAAAACAAAGAAUGAUGUGAUUUGCUUUUAUUGUUUUUAUGAUGUAAUUUAUUUUUAUCUUUCGGAGAUAUGCUCAAAAGAGCCAUACCCUUUAUUAUCACCAACCAGGUGACCAAAAGUACGCCCAGUACUCCACAAUUAUUCGGCAACCUACCGCUAUUACCACCGACCAGGUGAUGAGAUGUACAACCCGUACUCUAAUUUGGCAACUAGCCAUUCAUGCCACCAACCAGGUGAUCAAAAGUACGCCCAGUACUUCAUAUUAUACAUGAGCAUUACUCAUAUCAAUCAUACAUAAACAUUCAUGAGCAUCACUCAUGUCAACAUUCAUGAGCAUCACUCAUGUUAACAUCCAUAAGCAUCACUCAUGUUAAUCAAACAUUCAUGAGCAUCACUCAUGUCAAUCAAACGUUCAUGAGCAUCACUCGUGUCAAUCAGUUUCAAAAGCUUCAUUUACAAAAUCACUAGCUUCAAAAGCUUUUUUUUACAGAGCUACAACUUCAAAAGCUUCAUUUACAACUUCAAAGCUUCACUUACAAAGCUUCAGUGCAGGGUAUACAAAUACCGCCUCCAAACAACCGUCACUUCGGCCCGUACAUGGAUUCAAUUUGAAGUCUCCAGCCAACAGACUCUAUUAACCGAAGACUUGAAGGACUACAUUAUGUACCAUAUAUUGGGCCUCAACUGGGCCUCAUGAAAAAUACUUGGGGGACUUAGCCCAUUACUUAUGUAUUGAAGAGCGAGCCCUUAUUCUAUAAAAGGGACUCUCUCACUUUCAUUAGAGAGCACCUAUUAUUCAUGUACUAAGGAGCGAGCUCUUAUUUUAUAAAAGGGACUCCCUCACCAUCAUUAGAAAGCAACGCCGCCAGCUGAGCAACCGUCUCGCUGCGAGCAUUACUCCUAACCCAUCACUUAUGUAUUUAAGAGCGAGCCCUUAUUCUAUAAAAUGGUGAGGGAGUCCCUCACCACCAUUAGAGAGGAUCGCCGCCUACUAAGCAACCGCCUCGCCGCGAGUAUCAACUCUAGCACAUCAUUUAUGUAUUGAGGAACGAGCCCUUAAUAUAUAAAAGGGACUCCCUCACCAUCAUUAGAGAGCAUCAACUCUAGCCCAUCAUUCAUGUAUUGAGGAGCAAGCCCUUAUUCUAUAAAAUGGACUCCCUCACCUUCAAACGCCGUAAGCCGAGCCAACCAAGGAAACAUAAGCCACAAGCCGAGCAGCCUCGCAGCGUGUGCUACUUCUAGUUGAGCGUCAUUUUAGAUUGAGCACUGCCUCAUAUUGAGCAUCAGUUUAAGACAUCAUCUAGUUACUUCGGCCCACACAUGGACUGAAUUUUAAGUCUCCAGCCAAAAGACUCUCUUAACUGAAGACUUGGGGGACUACUGUUUAUACCAUAUUUAGGGCAUCGUAUUUAGACCUCGUAUAAAUACUCGAGGGACUUAAAUGUAAUUAUGUAAUAAAGGAAUGGGCAAAUAUGUAAUUAGGGAAGGAGCCCUUAUUCUACAAAAGGGCCUCCUCACCCUCACAAACCCUAAGCCUCUCCUAUCUAGAGCAAAGCUCUCACACUCUCUCCCUCGCAAAUACUCUCAGAGAAAUACAAUCAGUGUGGACGUAGCCUAAACCUUGGGGUGAACCACGAUACAUCUUGUGUUAUUUACAUUUCAUGCAGAUUCACGGUCGGAUUUACGUUGUUCCAAGACCUCCGGUUUUAUGCAUCAACAAAAGUAGAUUUUGGAAUUACAAUCAUGCCAUGCCUUUCUUUCUUACACAUAAAUGCGUGCUAUGGGUUAGGAACACUGCCAGAUUUCCUAUGCGAAAUACCACUGCAGAAUCUUACCAUUUUGGGGUGUUCUAAACUUGCCCAACAUUGCGUAAAAGGUAGCAGAAAAGAGUGGCUCAAGAUUUCUCACAUCUCAAACAUCGAGAUUUAGAACAUAUAUGGUGAGUUGCACUGCUUUGAUUUUUUACUUCAUUUGGAUAUAUAUAUAUAUAUAUAUAUGUAUAUGUAUAUGUAUAUGUAUAUAUAUAUACAAAUGCAAUUUAACUAUUUGCUUUCCAAAUUGCAGUACCUUUUUCAAACAUCAAACCUUCAACAGAUAUGGUGCACUGGGGCAAAAAAGUUUCCAGCUUAUCUGAUGACUGAUAUAAAGAGAAUUUAUCAAGUGAUGUCGAUGUAACUUGUCGAGAUAUGCCUAUUAGGCACCACAUCAAACAUUUGACAAGCACAAAAAGGACAAACACCAAACAUUCAGAUGUUCCUCGUAAAACCUUUGCAUGUAUAUUUUUAAGACUCCGGGUGGCCUAAAUAUACAUCUGCACUGGCAUAUAUCGUUGAACGAUGCUCGUUUGCCAUCUCCGCCAUCACUCCCAGCCCAAGCUGGCCGUCCGAUAAGGUCAAGGGCGAGGAAGCUGCGUGGGAAUUUGCCAAGGAGAAGGGCUGGAUGUCGUGUGGUGAAUCCAGGCACAGUGAUAGGCGCUGUUAUGUCGCGGAGUCUCAAUGCUAGCAUGUUGAUGCUCGUUCGCCUUCUUGAGGGUACUUUUCUCUGCAAAUUAGCGAAUUGAAAUCUGAUUUUUCCUAUAAUAGAAUUUUCAUGCGGGUAUAGAUUUGCAUACAUCAUCUUCCCUUGGUCUGCUUAGAAUCACUUCCAAAUGUCGAUUUCCAGGUUUAUCAACCUUUUGGUGCAUUCUCGCUUGCCUUCCGAAUUUUACAAAUUUUUUAGGUGACAUUGUUUCUUGUUUAUAAAAAAAAUAAGAAAUUGUUAUUGACAUUCAAAAUUUUCUAUAAUUAGUAAGAAAAUUAUAUUGUGAGAAAUGUAGAGUAAAUUUUUUGAAGUAUUAAUAAUAGUUUCCUAAAAAUAGACGAUAUUACUAAUUUGCAUACAUCAUCUUCCUUUGGUCUGCUUAGAAUCACUUCCAAAUGUCGAUUUCCAGGUUUAUCAACCUUUGGUGCAUUCUUGCUUGCGGAAUUUUACAAAUAUUUUAGGUGACCGUGACAUUGUUUCUUGUUUAUAAUAAAAAUAAGGAAUUGUUAUUGGCACUUCAAAAAUCGCAUUUUGCAUUUUAAACUGUUUAUAAUUAGUAAGAAAAUUACACUGUGAGAAAUGUAAAACAAAAUUUUUAAAUUGUUAAUAACAAUUUCCUAAAAAUAAACGAUAUUACUAAUUUGGGAUACAUAGAGAAAGCAAUCGUUUUAACUCAAGAUACAGUGUGUAGUGUGUGUUUUAUUUAUAUACUCAAUUUCGAUCUCUAUAUCUUUUUAUUUGAAAAUUCCAAUUAGAUUUUGGGCCUGCCUAAACGAAAAUUAUCCAGCUGGCCCAAUCCAACUUGAUCACCAUCAACAAUCAGCUAAAGUAAAUGAGGGACACACGACAGCCGAAAGCUAAGGGCCACAGGAGGGAGGAUGUCGAAGCAGGGUGAGGUCGUAUGCGUUACCGGUGGAAGCGGCGGCAUCGGAUCCUGGCUCGUCCGUCUCCUCCUCCACGGUGAUUACACCGUCCACGCCACCGUCAAGGAUCUCAGUAACUUCACCCUUGCUUUUCCCCUUAUCUACACAACUGCCACAGUUCCAUUCAUUCCAUUCGCGUUCAAUCCAAAAUUAAUAACGCCGUUGUUUUGUUUGUUGCAGAGGACGAUGGCGAGACGAAGCAUCUAGAAGCGUUAGUAGAGGGGGCAGAGUCGCGCCUCCGUCUCUUCCAGAUCGACCUCCUCGACUACAACUCCAUACUCGCCGCCGUCAAUGGUUGCUCCGGCGUCUUCCACCUCGCCUCUCCCUGCAUCGUCGACCAAGUCCA
rnacentral:lncRNA from 1 species